AGAGUUUGAUCCUGGCUCAGGAUGAACGCUAGCGGCAGGCUUAAUACAUGCAAGUCGAGGGGCAGCACAGGUAGCAAUACUGGGUGGCGACCGGCAAACGGGUGCGGAACACGUACGCAACCUUCCUUUAAGCGGAGAAUAGCCCAGGGAAACUUGGAUUAAUACUCCAUAAGAUUAUGGUGUGGCAUCACACAGUAAUUAAAGCUCCGGCACUUAAAGAUGGGCGUGCGGCUGAUUAGGUAGUUGGCGGGGUAACGGCCCACCAAGCCAACGAUCAGUAACUGGUGUGAGAGCACGACCAGUCACACGGGCACUGAGACACGGGCCCGACUCCUACGGGAGGCAGCAGUAAGGAAUAUUGGUCAAUGGACGCAAGUCUGAACCAGCCAUGCCGCGUGGAGGAUGAAGGCCCUCUGGGUUGUAAACUUCUUUUAUUUGGGAAGAAACCCAUCUUUUCUAAGGUGGUUGACGGUACCAGAUGAAUAAGCACCGGCUAACUCCGUGCCAGCAGCCGCGGUAAUACGGAGGGUGCAAGCGUUAUCCGGAUUCACUGGGUUUAAAGGGUGCGUAGGUGGGCAGGUAAGUCAGUGGUGAAAUCUCCGGGCUUAACCCGGAAACUGCCGUUGAUACUAUCUGUCUUGAAUGUAGUGGAGGUGAGCGGAAUAUGUCAUGUAGCGGUGAAAUGCUUAGAUAUGACAUAGAACACCCAUUGCGAAGGCAGCUCGCUACACUAUUAUUGACACUGAGGCACGAAAGCGUGGGGAUCAAACAGGAUUAGAUACCCUAGUAGUCC
rnacentral:rRNA from 1 species